GGGCCGGUAGCUCAGUUGGCAGAGCGUCUGGCUUUUAACCAGACGGUCGGGGGUUCAAGUCCCUCCCGGCCCG
rnacentral:tRNA from 6 species